ACGAUAUAGUGGCAGACGGGUGAGUAACGCGUGGGAACGUACCUUUCACUACGGAAUAGCUCUGGGAAACUGGUGGUAAUACCGUAUACGCCCUUAGGGGGAAAGAUUUAUCGGUGAAAGAUCGGCCCGCGUUGGAUUAGCUAGUUGGUGAGGUAAUGGCUCACAAAGGCGACGAUCCAUAGCUGGUCUGAGAGGAUGAUCAGCCACACUGGGACUGAGACACGGCCCAGACUCCUACGGGAGGCAGCAGUGGGGAAUCUUGCACAAUGGGCGAAAGCCUGAUGCAGCCAUGCCGCGUGAAUGAUGAAGGCCUUAGGGUUGUAAAAUUCUUUCGUCAGGGAUGAUAAUGACCGUACCUGAAGAAGAAGCCCCGGCUAACUUCGUGCCAGCAGCCGCGGUAAUACGAAGGGGGCUAGCGUUGUUCGGAAUUACUGGGCGUAAAGCGCACGUAGGCGGACUUUUAAGUCAGGUGUGAAAUCCCGGGGCUCAACCUCGGAACUGCAUUUGAAACUGGAAGUCUGGAGAUCAGGAGAGGUUAGCGGAAUACCGAGUGUAGAGGUGAAAUUCGUAGAUAUUCGGUGGAACACCAGUGGCGAAGGCGGCUAACUGGACUGAUACUGACGCUGAGGUGCGAAAGUGUGGGGAGCAAA
rnacentral:rRNA from 1 species